AAUGGAAUUGUUAGAUCAAAUGAUAAUUCUGUUUAAAUUUUUUUUGGAGGAAUUGGCAUACUAUUUUCCAUAGCAGCUGCACCAUUUUUCAUUCCUACUAGCAAU
rnacentral:pre_miRNA from 1 species